GACGAACGCUGGCGGCGUGCUUAACACAUGCAAGUCGAACGAAGUGGCGAACGGGUGAGUAACGCGUAAUUAACCUGCCCUUCAGAGGGGGACAACAGUUGGAAACGACUGCUAAUACCGCAUACUGAAGGAGGGGAUUGUGUCUGAUUAGCUAGUUGGGGGGGUAACGGCCCACCAAGGCGAUGAUCAGUAGCCUGUCCGGGGAGAUGAACCGCCAAAUUGGGACUGGGACACGGCCCCGACUCCUUCGGGAAGCAGCAGGGGGGAAACUUCGGAAAUGGAGGAAAGGCCUAAGGAACAAAGGCGCGUGAGUGAUGACGGCCUUCGGGGUGGAAAGCUAUGUUAAUCGGGACGCGGUACCGGAAGAGAAAGCAACGGCUAACUACGUGCCAGCAGCCGCGGUAAUAC
rnacentral:rRNA from 1 species